GAUCCAGCGGCGGACGGGUGAGUAAUGCCUAGGAAUCUGCCUGGUAGUGGGGGACAACGUUUCGAAAGGAACGCUAAUACCGCAUACGUCCUACGGGAGAAAGCAGGGGACCUUCGGGCCUUGCGCUAUCAGAUGAGCCUAGGUCGGAUUAGCUAGUAGGUGAGGUAAUGGCUCACCUAGGCGACGAUCCGUAACUGGUCUGAGAGGAUGAUCAGUCACACUGGAACUGAGACACGGUCCAGACUCCUACGGGAGGCAGCAGUGGGGAAUAUUGGACAAUGGGCGAAAGCCUGAUCCAGCCAUGCCGCGUGUGUGAAGAAGGUCUUCGGAUUGUAAAGCACUUUAA
rnacentral:rRNA from 1 species